AUUAGCUAGUUGGAGGGGUAACGGCCCACCAAGGCUACGAUGGGUAGCUGAUGUGAGAGCAUGAUCAGCCACACGGGCACUGAGACACGGGCCCGACUCCUACGGGAGGCAGCAGUGAGGAAUAUUGGUCAAUGGACGGAAGUCUGAACCAGCCAUGCCGCGUGAAGGA
rnacentral:rRNA from 1 species